GAUAAACGCUGGCGGCGUGCAUGAGACAUGCAAGUCGAACAAACGAGCUUGCUCGUUAGUGGCGGACGGCUGAGUAACGCGUAGGUGACCUACCCCGAAGUGGGGGAUAACUGCCCGAAAGGGUGGCUAAUACCGCAUGUGGCGACGCUUUCAUUGGCGUCAUCAAAGCCGCGAGGCGCUUCGGGAGGGGCCUGCGUCCGAUUAGCUCGUUGGUGGGGUAAUGGCUCACCAAGGCGACGAUCGGUAGGUGGUCUGAGAGGACGAUCACCCAGACUGGGACUGAGACACGGCCCAGACUCCUACGGGAGGCAGCAGUCGGGAAUUUUGCGCAAUGGACGAAAGUCUGACGCAGCAACGCCGCGUGCGGGAUGAAGGCCUUCGGGUUGUAAACCGCUUUUACCAGGGACGAUAAUGACGGUACCUGAUGAAUAAGUCACGGCUAACUACGUGCCAGCAGCCGCGGUAACAC
rnacentral:rRNA from 1 species